GAGCUCUUGCCCCGCACAGCUCUGAGCGAAGAAAGGUAAAUGAUGCGGGAGAAGAAAUUGAAGUGGGGAAACUAUUUCCCUCACUAUCCCGCACAUGGUCUAAGGUGAAUCAAACAACCCGCGGGAUAAGAAACCAAGAAAAACAAGGGCAUGAAGUUAUCCCGCGCACGAUUUGGGGGCAAUGCAUCGCGGGAUAAGCAAGGGGUGCACGGGAGAAGCAAGGCCUUGUUAUCCCGCGUGAUUCUGGAGGGGUGCUCUCAGGCACGCGGGGUAAGUAUGGUAUGGGGAGACUGAGGUCCAAAUUACCCCGCUUAAGGAAAACACGCACAACAAAACGCCACGGGAUAUGAUUUGAUAGCAAAAAAUCGAAAGAAGAAAGGGCUUGCCAGGGGUAAAGAGAAAAUUAGGGCAUGAGAGAAUAAACGUGAGGAAAGAAAAUGAAAUACACAAAGCAGGACAAAACAAGAUUAGAGCAAACAAAAUGAGAAGGACUAAUGCAUGAAGAGGACGAAAACGCGGGUGUAAUUGCAGUUGCAGUAAGCCGAGAUGGGGAAUGCAGGGAUCUACUCAAGGAAAGAUCGAUAGUAUUGUUGCAGAAAGUUUGAGGCGAAUGCACUUGACAGGUGUGAAACCAAUUUCCAUAGCCCUCGCCAUUGUCCUCCCGGCUGAAGAUGAGACAGGAGUUCGAGGGCAGAUUGCUGAUAUCUAUUUUUCAGGGCAAACGCUUCAUAGCAUAUGUCGUGCAUUGAAUUUGAUAGACAUGGCAAUGAACAGACAAAAUGCAAACUGGAGAUGUUGGUAUUCUGAGAUGGCAAAUGAGAUAGGGCACUGUAUAACAGGGAUCGUAUAUAUAAGGAGGUGGAAGAAACCCUAUGGAGACCAAAAUAAUCAAAUGUCAAGGCAGAUUUUAAUGAAAUAAUUAUGUCUGAGUUUCCAUAUGCACAGGGAGACACAAUGCAGAUGGAUUGCAAUGUAAUCAUGUGUGUGCCUGGGUUAGGACGUUGAUCCAAACGCCAGUGGUAAUAGUAGUAGAUGAAAUCCAAUGAAGGGUCAUCCCGCAUUUGUCGAGGAAAACCAUAUGAGUGCCUGCAGAUGUGCACAAAUUAUCCUUGACGUUAUUUUGGCAGCAUGGGAGUAUUUCGUGGGUGCGUAUGAAUAUUGCUGAUCAGAUCCAUGAAGGGGUAGCGAAAUGUGAUAACUUGUAAAAUGCCCGCUAUAUCUGUUGUGAUUUGAAGGUUGGGGGUUUUCUAUCAGAUGCUAUGGUUACAGGUGCUUUUGGCCAAAUCGAAUAGGGACUUGUCAGCACCUUGAGACUUCUCUUCUCCAUGAUACGUCUUAGGUGUGAAUGUACUUGGUUGUGGGAUUGCAUCGAGUGAAUUUUCAAAGACCUCGUGCCAGUAUGAAAGUAUAGGCAUUGAAAAGUAAUGUGGAAGCAUCGACAGGGCUAUGAUGAAGCGAUUCGAGGGAGAGUUUUAAACCAAUGAUGCUUUCCUUUUGGUGGGUUUUGGGCCAAGUUUGUUUAUUUGAUGGUUCGCCUCUGUUGCAACACCGAAUAUGAAGGGGAUAUACACUGCUUACAAGGGAAGGAAUUAUAUUCACUUGAGUGUCAUUAUUUCACUAAAAGGGGGCAUUUUCAGUAAAAUUAUUUAAGCUAGAGAGGGGUGGGAAAUGGUUCUAAUCCACAAUGAAUAAGUCUUAAUAUUUUGACUAAAGAGGAAUGUAGAUCUGAGCAGCGAGGGUGAUUUUCUUUUAAAGUAUAAUCAAAAGGAGAGAUGUGAAGGCCAUGUCAUUUUCACUAUAGAGGACUAUAUUCCACUCACGAGUGAAUUGAAGAAAAGUAGAAGAAAUUCAUACGAAAGGAAGUGAAAUAUUAUUCUUCGAAUGCACAGGGUAAGCAUUUUCAGUCAAAAGGGGGUUUUGCUAUUUUGGCCAAAGAGGAAAAUGUGCAGAAAAGUCGGCUUUUCCUUUCACUAAAGGGUAAUUUUCAGUUUUCAGACAGGGAGGGAAAGUGUGAGCUUCUACAGUUAAAUGGACAGUAGGCAAAUAUGCAGGGUGGAGGUGAAGAUUUUGACAAAUUUUGAAAGAAGAAGAGUUAUUCAAAGUGCGGAUUUCAAGAGAGGAGACAAGUCUCUUUCAGAGAUUCUUUUAGGUUUCUCUUUAGGUUUUUCUCUUUUUGAUGUAUACUCUCUCUUCUUUUCAGAUAUACAAUUCUGAAUGUAAUUUUUCUCAUCAUUCUGGAAGCAAGGCUUCCAUAUAUAGAGUGCAAGAUUUUCAUGA